rnacentral:rRNA from 1 species
GACGAACGCUGGCGGCGUGCUUAACACAUGCAAGUCGAACGGUGACCCUCGGAGCUUGCUUCGGGGUGAGCAGUGGCGAACGGGUGAGUAACACGUGAGUAACCUGCCCCUGACUCUGGAAUAAGCGCUGGAAACGGCGUCUAAUACCGGAUACGACACGCCUCCGCAUGGGGAGCGUGUGGAAAGUUUUUCGGUCUGGGAUGGACUCGCGGCCUAUCAGCUUGUUGGUGAGGUAAUGGCUCACCACGGCGAGGACGGGGAGCCGGCCUGAGAGGGCGACCGGCAACACUGGGACUGAGACACGGCCCAGACUCCUACGGGAGGCAGCAGUGGGGAAGAUUGCACAAUGGGCGAAAGCCUGAUGCAGCGACGCCGCGUGAGGGAUGACGGCCUUCGGGUUGUAAACCUCUUUCAGCAGGGAAGAAGCGAAAGUGACGGUACCUGCAGAAGAAGCACCGGCUAACUACGUGCCAGCAGCCGCCGUAAGAC